rnacentral:lncRNA from 1 species
AUACAAUUUCCCACAAUCUACUUGUCCAAAGAGCCACAAUAGCCCCAAGAUUGUUGAUCUUGCUAUGGUGUGCACAAAAUAAUGUCAUUAGAAUCCUUAAAAGCUGUGACAAAAGCAUCCAUUGUUGCCUGAUAAAGCUGGUGCUGACUGGUCAAUUUAAGCUUCACUUGUCCUGUGGAUCUUGCAGCAAGCCGGCAACUAAAUUGAUCCAACUUCAAAGCCGCCUAGUCUGUUAAAAGACCGGCACCAAGUUGGCCUGAGUUUGGCACUGUGGACCAAAACAUUAAAACAAGAUACCAACUACACAAACAUUGAUAUCUGAUCACAAGACAACGUUGUCUGCCCUCAAGAUGACAAGUUAUUCCUAAAAGAAAUUCAAUUCAUUGAUCGACUCACAAAUCUCGAGUUACACAAACAUUGAUAUCUGAUCACAAGACAACAUUGUUUGCCCUCAAGAUGAUAUGUCAUUCAUUGAUCGACACACAAAUCUCGAGUUCUAUCUCUGAUUUGGUUUUUUAUUGAAGCCGCCUUCCUUCUCCACUUCAGCAGCAUUACAAUCAUGGUAUCUAAAGCAACUAAUUAAAUGGUCAUUUGUUAUACCAGCAACCCGCAUAAAUGAGUAUACAACUGUAGGCCCCACUCUCCUGAAACCUCGUUCUUUUCUUAUCAGAUCAGCCUUGGAGGUCCUACCCGGAACCUAGCGAGGAUAACGGAAUCUGCCAACUACAUGCUUGUGUUUCACAAAGCCCCAAAUGUACUUAUCGAAAGAUCCAAAUUCAUCGAUCACCUGAU